AAGAUAGUGACAGAAUGGCUAUGUGUUUGGCUUGAAACCUAAUUAUGGGGGUUCAAUUCCCUCCUCUCUCG
rnacentral:tRNA from 1 species